rnacentral:misc_RNA from 1 species
GAUGAAGAACGUAGCAAAAUGCGAUAAGUAAUGUGAAUUGCAGAAUUCAGUGAAUCAUCGAAUCUUUGAACGCACAUUGCGCCCGCCAGUAUUCUGGCGGGCAUGCCUGUUCGAGCGUCAUUUCAACCCUCAAGCACAGCUUGGUGUUGGGACUCGCGUUAAUUCGCGUUCCCCAAAUUGAUUGGCGGUCACGUCGAGCUUCCAUAGCGUAGUAGUAAAACCCUCGUUACUGGUAAUCGUCGCGGCCACGCCGUUAACCCCCAACUUCUGAAUGUUGACCUCGGAUCAGGUAGGAAUACCCGCUGAACUUAAGCAUAUCAAUAAGCGGAGGA